UUUUAUUAUUAGUUUAGAUUUAUUAAUCUUUAAAUGAUUUAUUAAUAUGCUGUAUUGAAUAUAUAUUUAUAGGUAAUUAUGAUUAAAUUAGUAUAAUUUUUUGUAAGGUUAAUUAAACUUUUAAGCUAAAAUUAAGGAAUUCGGCAAAUUUGUUUUCUGCCUGUUUAUUAAAAACAUGUCUUUUAGUAAUUAUUUGAAGUCGGGCCUGCCCUAUGAUUAUUUAAAUGGCCGCGGUAUUUUGACCGUGCAAAGGUAGCAUAAUAAUUAGUUUCUUAAUUGGAAGCUGGUAUGAAUGGUUUGACAAGAAAAUUUCUGUCUCUUUUUUAUUAUUAGAAUUUAACUUUUGAGUCAAAAGGCUUAAAUAUUUUUAAAAGACGAGAAGACCCUAUAGAAUUUUAUAUUUAAAUUGAUUAAAAUUUUAUGGAUUAUUUAUUUUUAAUUAAUUAAAUUAUUUUGUUGGGGUGACGGAAAAACUUAAAUAACUUUUUCUUAUUAUAUUCAUUAAUUUAUGA
rnacentral:rRNA from 1 species